UCCUCCAAGCUCAGCUGGUAAAUUAGUGGUUAUAUUUAAACACUUUGAUAUUGAGGAAGGCUACAACGGAAUUUGCAGCAACGACUUUGUUAAGGUUUUUGAMAAAUCUGACAAARUGUUAUCAAGUGCUGUUUGUGGUCAAAAAAGUCCCUUUGCAGUUGUUAAUUCUGCUCCAAKGACAACUUUCAUCUCGCUUAAGUCAGAUGGAGGCUUGGAGAAGAGUGGAUUUCAAGCUGGUUACUUUUUUCUAAGUGACAAAGAUAGAGCAGUCAUCCAACUAAAACAGAACAGCAAAAAUUCCACAGCAGCCUCACUGUCUUGGAGUUACCCUUCGUCCAGUUCAAUCGAUACGUUUUAUGUUUUAUGCAAACAAGAUGAAGUAAACGAAAACUGGAAAGUCGUUAAAACAGCAUCGUUAGCUGCAACCAUCGAUGGCCUUCGUCCUUCUACACCAUAUAUAGCCAAAGUCAUUGGAAAUAGCAGUGAAGCAGUUUUUUGGAGUAGUCCAGUUCAGUUUG